AAUCAACGCUGGCGGCGUGCCUCAGACAUGCAAGUCGAACGAUUAAAGCUGCCUUCGGGGAGUGCAUAGAGUGGCGCACGGGUGAGUAACACGUAAGUAAUCUACCUUCGAGUGGGGAAUAACGUCCGGAAACGGACGCUAAUACCGCAUAAUGCAGCAGCAUCGCAAGAGGACAGUUGUCAAAGAUUUAUCGCUUGAAGAGGAUCUGGCGGCAGAUUAGCUAGUUGGUAAGGUACUGGCGUACCAAGGCUACGAUCUGUAACCGGUCUUAGAGGACGGUCGGUCACACUGACACUGAAUAACGGGUCAGACUCCUACGGGAGGCAGCAGUCGGGAAUUUUGGGCAAUGGGCGAAAGCCUGACCCAGCAACGCCGCGUGAAGGAUGAAGUAUUUCGGUAUGUAAACUUCGAAAGAAUGGGAAGAAUCAAUGGCGGUACCAUUUAUAAGGUCCGGCUAACUACGUGCCAGCAGCCGCAGUAA
rnacentral:rRNA from 1 species